ACGGGUGUAGCAAUACAUCAGUGGCGCACGAGUGAGUAACGCGUGGGAAGCUGCCCUUCACUGGGGAAUAACGUUUGGAAACGAACGCUAAUACCGCAUACGCCGGAAACGGGAAAGAUUUAUCGGUGAAGGAUGUGCCCGCGUUGGAUUAGCUUGUUGGUGGGGUAACGGCCUACCAAGGCGAUGAUCCAUAGCUGGUCUGAGAGGACGAUCAGCCACGCUGGAACUGAGACACGGUCCAG
rnacentral:rRNA from 1 species